GCCCUCAUGGGCAGCACAUAUACUAAAACUGGAAUGAUACAAGAAGAUUAGCAUGGCCACUGCACAAGGAUAACACAUAAAUUCAUGAAUUAUUCUAUAUUUUU